rnacentral:rRNA from 1 species
GAAGGUGAUGCCUGCCCGGUGACUUGACGUUUAACGGCCGCGGUAUCCUAACCGUGCAAAGGUAGCGCAAUCAAUUGUCCCAUAAAUCGAGACUAGUAUGAAUGGCUAAACGAGGUCUUAACUGUCUCUUGCAGGCAAUCGGUGAAAUUGAUCUCCCUGUGCAAAAGCAGGGAUAAACCCAUAAGACGAGAAGACCCUGUGGAACUUUAAAAACAGCAGCCACCCCAAAUUACAUAACCCCCCACUGGGCUCACUAACACAUAAGCCACUGGCCUGCAUUUUUUCGGUUGGGGCGACCUUGGAGAAAAACAAAUCCUCCAAAAAUUGGACCUUCCCUCUAGACCAAGAGCAACAUCUCGACGUGCUAAUAGCAUCCAGACCCAAUAUAAUUGAUCAAUGGACCAAGCUACCCCAGGGAUAACAGCGCAAUCUCCUUUAAGAGUCCAUAUCGACAAGGAGGUUUACGACCUCGAUGUUGGAUCAGGACAUCCUAGUGGUGCAGAAGCUACUAAGGGUUCGUUUGUUCAACGAUUAACAGUCCU